AGCUGACUGCACUUCGUGGCAUUUGUAGCCACGUUGGUCGUGUACGUUGUUCGUUUAAAAUAGCAAGUACUGUGUAUUUUUGUCUUGAAUAAGUCAAACAAUGCCGUGCUUUUAGCUGAACUUUCGAAGCCAAGAAGAGAGGGAAGCAGCAAGAAGAAGAAUAUGGCUGAUGAACUUCUGCAGAGCAAACUGGCAGAACACAAAAGCAACUGCAUUAUGUGGAAAUCACUUCACUCCAGACCAAUUUGAAACCAACAGAGCUUGUGGAGUGGUAAAACUUAAACCAAAUGCUGUGACAACCAUUUCUUGUCAUCAUAAGCCACCAGUGGGAUGUAAAGCUCCUUCUGAGAGAAACCUGUUGGCCCACUAGAGAAACAAACUGAGGAUACUGAGGUUGGAGAGCCUUCAAAUGUGACCAGUGACAUCAGUCCUCCAGAGAAUCUGGACGCAACAGGAGAUGAAGUCACCACUCUGAAGAACCUAGUACAACAGCUUUGGGCUGAAAUUUUAGCUUUGAAGAGAAAACUCAACUUCUCUCAGAAAGGGGGGAGACAAGAGUGUGUUUAGAAUAAGACAACUUU